UGUUUGCUACUCAACUGUUGGAGCAUUGUAAAUUUAAAGAAUGUUAUGUUUUUGAUGGCCCUAUUGAGGCUUAUAAUUUGGAAGAAAUUGAAAAGGAAAGUCAAUCUACAUCAGAUGCCGGUACGUUGGAAGCUGAUCCGUUUUUCGAAACCCCUUCAACAUCAUUCAAGUCUUUUAAGGCGAAUUCAAUGCCAGAAAAGUCUUUCGACAAACCAUCGAUGGCUAAAAAGGCAUCAAAUCAAAAAAAAAAUAAAAAAAGUACUGAUAUAAAGAAUUGGAGCAAAAAUGAGGUUUUACUUCUUAUUGCGGCUUAUAAAGAACAUCAACUUGAAUUCCUGGAGGUAAAUGUUAACAAUGAUGAAGUUUGAAAAAAGUUGCGAAUGACGUCAACGAAACCCUUAGUGUGCAGGACUUGCCGCCCAUUGCUAACGAGAAAUUCAAGACUAAAUAGGAAACGCUCAAACGUCAUUACAAAGGUUUAAAAGAUAGCAACAAAAAAUCGGGGAACUCCUCAAUAACAUGGGCUUUCUAUGAUGUAAUCAUAGAAAUUAAUUACUUCUUGAUACUAUUCGAAUUUUUUACAAAUAUUUUAAGUAAAUUAAUUUGUAGGAAAUGGAAGAAGUAUUUGGUGAGCAACCAUGGGUUAAACCUCUUUCUACUGCCGGAUCAAAUUCUACCAAUAAAAUGGAUCCUGAAAUUAUCAGCCCACCACGAAAGCGGCAGAAAACUUUAACAAGCUACUGUGAAGAAUUACUUGCAGCUAAAAAAGAAAAUAGUGAAACUCGAAAACAACAUCAUCGUAAGAAAAUCGCAUCUAUAGCUCAAUUAUCUUGUGCUCUCAAUAAGCUUGUAGAACACAUAACAAAAGGACAAGGAGACUUUUUUGUUGCACAGAGUUAUUUUUUUCAUAUUCUAAUUUUA